rnacentral:lncRNA from 1 species
AACUUAAGGCUGCCCUCGGUAAAAUAGGGAUUAAGAUUACCAGUAAUUUAUCUAACAGUAGUUAAAAAAGACUGUUUUUGGACAAUCAAUCAAAUGGAAAUAGUUCCGCUAGGAUUGAUAAUUCCGAUAAUUUAGCUGAACGGAAUACAGUUACUGAUGGAAACUAUUCGUUAAAUGUAAGUGAUGCUACUAUACGUGAUCCUAUUGACAUAAAUACUCCGAUCGCGAUGUUCACUCAAUUCCUAUUUCAACCGUUCAACAGGAGAUUACUACGCCGUCUACAUCAUAUGCGCACGCAAUUCCUCAGCUUCCGCCCACUGCUGCAUCUGCGCACGCAACCGUAAACAAUAACAAUCAAAAUGUAAACAUGCAAAACCUCUUAAUGAAUACAAUUCAACUCUGCCAGCAAUCUAUGCAACAAAUGAAUAAACAAGGAGAGCAGAUACAGCCAAGUUUCAAUCUAUCAACAGCU